AACGAACGCUGGCGGCGUGCCUAACACAUGCAAGUCGAACGGAGGCAGGGGGCUUGCUCCUUGCUUUAGUGGCGCACGGGUGAGUAACGCGUAGAUAAUCUGCCUGAUGAUUCGGGAUAACACUUCGAAAGGGGUGCUAAUACCGGAUAAGCCCACGGUGUCUUUGGACACUGCGGGAAAAGGGGGGCCGUUAUCGGCCUUCUGUCAUCAGAUGAGUCUGCGUACCAUUAGCUAGUUGGUAGGGUAAAGGCCUACCAAGGCGACGAUGGUUAGCUGGUCUGAGAGGAUGAUCAGCCACACUGGAACUGAGACACGGUCCAGACUCCUACGGGUGGCUG
rnacentral:rRNA from 1 species